AAAGGCUGGCGGUUUGAAUCUGGGGAGCAGAGUGAGCUCCCGCUAUUAGCCCCAGCUUCUGCCAACCUAGCAGUUCAAAAACAUGCAAAUGUGAGUAGGUACUGAUCAAUAGGUACUGCUUCUGCUGGAAGGUAAUGGCACUCCAUGCAGUCAUGCUGGCUACAUCACCUAGGAAGUGUCUAUGGACAAUGCUGACUCUUCGGCUUAGAAAUGAAGAUGAGCACCAACCCUCACAGUUGGACACGGCUACACUUAAUGUCAGGGGAAACCUUUACCUAAGCAUUUCUAGGUCCUCUGCCAUGACUCUGUUGUAUUAUUGCACAGAAGUUAUUCCUUAAAGUAGUCUUGAUAUUAUCCACAAUUUCUCUUACCCUUUCACAUUCUGAGAGCCUAUCUCAUGUGGACACAAAGGUUGUGCUGUAGGUUAUACAAGUUACUUUCCCACUAAAAACUCAGUUCUCAAAGACUUUUCAGAAUAAGGACGUCUUCAACUGCCUGCAGAAGGAUAAUAAGGAAGGUUUUAUCUAUCCAGUCUGAGAAGAGAGUUCCAGAACCUGAGAGUAGCCACCAAGAAGGUCCUCUCCAAUGUUUUUUACCAGCAAUGCCUAUUAGGGUAGAAGGGCAAAGAGAAGCCCACGCACUUCUGGUUUUUAAGUCACAGGCAGAUUCACAUUAAGAAACUACCAAUAUUCUGAAGUAUCUAAAGAACAACAAUUUUUUUUUCAAAUAUACUGCUCCAUAAUCAUGCUCCAGGUCAUGCCAGUAUAUCAUGCACAUUGGAGAGAAUCAUUCUACCUUUAAACAAUAAGUUUGUUUUUAUCAGAAGUAUUUAGGAGGACUUCUGAAAAUCAUGCCUUUGCUCAUUUAGAAAUGUAACUUAUACCAUACCUUUCCAGUCAAGCUGCAUUCAAGAACCUAGGAAAAAACAUAAUUUUAUACCUUCUCAAAAUCCUUUCUGGAUUGAACUCACAAUAUCUUUUUUUAAAAUGUAAAACAAGACAUAAGCAGUUUGAAAUCCCUUCAGAAAUACAGAAGCUUAAAUUCCAAAGACAGGAAAGAAAAAGGCCAACUUUAGACUUUCUUAAUAAGGUGUCAUAUUAUAUAAGGGAUGUGGUUGUACUAUGCCAUUGUGUAUAAUGUAUCCACAGAUUUUGAUAUCUGCAGGGGGUUCUUGGAAUCAGACCUCAAAGGAUACCAAGGGCCCACGGUGGCCCACAAAACUCUUCCAUGCCAAAAAUACUGAAACUCUUCAAUGCCUGAAAUGUAUUGUUAGCUUCAACUAGAGUAGAGCCAUUGACUCAGUAGUGUUGGCUCACCAUCCAGCAAUUAAUUUAGUGACUCUAACCAGUAGGACACAAGCCAAUGUGCCUUCCACAUUUUGCAUGUCCCCAUGGCAAGUCACAGAAUGCUAUCAAGGGACUAUUAUACUUUGGUGUAGCCGUGGUAGUGACUAUGCAUCUUGUUAUUAUUGUGUUUUAAAUAUGGGAGCUCAGAUGCAUGAACUGCUUAGAACUGGCUUCAGUUCAGUGGAAGGCACACAUUUAUGCGCAUAUUCCAUUAUAUACACAGAAUGCUCCCUUUCAUGGAGCAGAACAGAGACAUCAGUCAUAUGUUAUGAAAGAAAAAUUUCCUCAUUCUUCUGAAUGCGCAUGGACCCUCUCAUGUCUACCAAUGCAGAUCCUAAGAAAUCUCCUUCAGGCCCCCUUGUCAGAUGAGUCAAACAAGAGAAAGGGUGGUACCCUGUCUAUGCAAUGCCUGCCCUGAGAGGCUCUCCUGGUACCUUCUUUGCGAUCUUUUAAGUGCCAGAUGGGAGGCUUUUCUUAUUCUCUGGGCUUUCAAUUGCAGUGCGCCCUUGAUAUCCAUUGAUUUUUGUUCCAGGUCAUCCCAUGGAUAUCAAAAUCCAUGGAGGUACAAAUACCAUGAUCUACAAUGGCUAAUUAUAAAAAUGGCAAAAUUGAGGUUUGUUUAUUUGCUUAUUUUGGGUGGGGAACAUUUUCAAUGUGUGGAUGAUGGAAUCCAUGGGUGUAGAAUUCGAUAUUGAGAGCUGAUUGUACUAGGGUUUUUUCCAUACAUUUAGAACUUCUCUUUUAUUUAUUUUGCUGUUAUUUUUGAUAUGCUACAGUCUUUCAACUUCUUGCUUUGGGUUUCAUUGGUCUAAAUCUUCCUGUUAUUCCACCUGGAAUAGAUGGAUUGAAUCAAUGGAAAUAGUAAAUCAGCAUGGAUGUAAGUUCUACUAAUUCUCAAUGAGGAUACCUACCACAGAUGUGGGUAAAACGCCAGGAUAGAAUAUUUCUGGAACAUGGCCAAACAGCCCAGAAAACUCAUAGCAACCCAGUGAUUCAGGCCAUGAAAGCCUUCAACAACACAAUUCCCAAUGAGUUUUCCCUAGUUGGGACUAGCAAUUAUGUUGAGGCUAUGUGAUGUUUUUGUCAUUACUUAUCAUUUUAUAUGUUAUUGUUGGAUAAUUAGGCAGUUUAAAGUUAAAUAAAUACAUUGAUAAAAUCUCUAAUUUGAGAGAGGCCCAGCUCUUCCCACAUAGUCUGAGUCAGCAGCGGAAUAUCUAGAUCAGAAAGUUUGAAAUGUUCAUCCAGAAAGGGAGAUAAAGCAGGGUAUAAAUAAACAAACAAUAAACAACAUGUAAGCAAACGAGUCAGAAUUACCAAUUCUGCCCUAGAUGGCCUUUGGGUCUUUCAACAACAUAAUGAUUUCAUUAAACUAAAGAAGCCAGUUUGCAAAUUCACCAUUCACGAAACACCUUGUUGUUGCGUGCCUUCAAAUCAUUUCUGAGUUAUAGUAAGUCUAAGGCAAACCUGUCAUGGAGGGCUUUUUGUCAUGAUUUGUUUAGAAGAUGUUUGUCGUUGUUCUUCGCUUAAGAUGGGAAUGUAUGAGUCACUCAAGAUCACUUUAUAGCUAAGCAAAGAUUCAAAGCUUGGUCUCCUAGAGGCUUGGUCCAAUACAAACCACCAUGCUGACUCCUUGUCUCACCCUAAAGAAAAACUCUCCAAUACCUGUUGUUCUUCAUGAUUGGUACAACCAUGACCAUUUUCUUCCUGUUGCCAUUGCUACCACCAUGCCAGUACAGUGAAUCAGCACAAUUCCUGGUUACAACAGCCAAAGCGAUGAUGACAAUGCCCCACACUAGGUCCUUAUUUAAAUGACAAAUGUGAGAUAAAUUGCUAGUUGAGGCAGGCUCUUUCACUAUGGAUUCAUGCUUCUCUUCAACAUCUUGUUCCCCUUCUCAUAUGCUUUGAAUUGUGGCUUUGGUGCCUGUAUAGUCCAUGAUCUCAAUUCAGUUGCUGGCAUUCAAAAACCAGAAAUAAAUAUUUUAAAAAGCUAGGAAAUAAAACUCCCCAUUGCGUCUUGGAGGAGGAAGACACUGAAGCUAUCAGAUGCCUUUCCUUUGCAGAGGAGGAAGAAGUAAAAGAUGGGGAGAUGGAGACAACACAAGCCGAAGCGUGGCUUUCAAGUGCUACAAAUGCAGUUGGGAAACUUUCCAUAGCAGCCCAUUUGCUCUUUGCUACAAUAACCCAGAGCUGCAGCGGAGCACUGUUUGUGGUGCUGAAAUCUUGCCACAAGGGCAGUUCCUGGAAAUGCUUCGCAGAGGACAGCAAGUCAGUGGGAGGCGUACAGCUCUCGACAAAACCAAAAAUACGGAAAGGAUUAUGCUUCUAACCAACCAAUAAAACAGAAUGACACAGAGGGGUUUUCCCACACUCUCCUUGCAUAGAAAAGCACUUAGAGCAGAUUGUGCUCCACUAAACAUCUUCAGGGUGGUUUGAAACAUGGUGUGUGGGUGGAUUUCCCUCUCCUCUUUCAAAGAGCGCUUAAAAAGCAGAGAUGAUUAUAAUCCUCUUUAAUGAUGGUGAAUCUUUUAAUCCUUGGACUUGAAAAAAAAACAAACAAGAAAUAUCCAAAUUGACACAAGCCCUCUAAGGUAGGCAGGGAAAUAAGUCUGCAAAAGUUAGCUUGUCAGCAAAACUAGCUCAUAACUAAAAGCUGCUAGCUUACUUAUUCAUGUAUUCCAAUAUGAAUCAUUUGUUGUUUGGAAACAAUUGACUUUACUGACUUUGGAAAGCCUAAAAUGUCAGUAAUAUUUCUCUACAUGGUCACCUAGAGCAGUGCCUCUCUGUCUGUCAGAUGUCAGAGACCAGUACUGGGACUAGUUUCAUAUUUAUGGCCAUUAUGUCAUUCUUUCUUAGAAGAUCUAUGCAAGUUGGCACUGGUCCAUGGAUCACUACUAACCUGGAGAUGAUUAAUAUGACCAACUAGUAUUUAAAUUCUAGAUAUGCUUUCCUAGAUGCAGAUCCCAUUCAACUUUAUGGCCCAUCUCCCAGCAAGGAUGCUUUUUAUAAUAAAGUGAUCUGAGUGCUGGACUGAAACUCUCUGAGUUUGAAUCAACACACAGCCAUGAAAGCCUCUAGUCACACACCUCUAGUUUUAGCAAACGCCAUGAUAGAGUCACGUUAGGGUUGCCAUAAGUCAGAAAUCGCUUGAAGGCACCCAAUAACAAAUUGAAACAGAUUCUUAUUUUCAUUUUCAACAAGCUCUCUGAGCUGUUUUGCUCUUGCUUUGGUCAGGGUGGACAAAAUAUAGACCGCACCCUUACCAACAGUCCAAUUUUCCAACUUGCGAUAGACAAUCCAAACCCUUCCUGUGUCUAUGAAGAUAAGCUGGAUUCUGUUGAUUUUGGUUUGAGCCAGUUAGCCAGCAGAGUACUGAUCAUGCCAUUAAGCAAGACUGAACAUUUGGGAACAUAUAGUUUAUUCAUCUAUUUCAAGGAUGUUGAAGACAAGUUAUAGAACUAUGCUCUUUGAUGUACCAAAAAAAAGGAGUUUAAAAAGUGUAGUAGUCCGUACUCGAAUAAACCCAUACAUGACACAAAUGUAGUAGUCCGUACUCAAAUAAAUUUAUUUAUUUAUUUAUUUAUAACAUUUAUAUUUUGCCCUUCUCAUCCCGAAGGGGACUCAGGGCGGAGCACAACAUAUAUAUGGCAAGCAUUCCAUGCCAGAACAUAAAAUAAUUAUAAAUAUACACAAACAUUAAAACAUUAAAAACAUUAAACAUUAAAAACAUUAAACAUUAAAACAUUUAAAUUAGUUGUAUCUAUUUUAAAAUCAGCUGAAUAAACCCAUACACGAUAGAUAUGUAGUAGUCCAUACUUGAAGAACAAUUAAGCUGCUGUAAACACAGGAACUGUUGGUGGCCUCAAAGCAAUGAAAAAAACCAUAUUUAAGCUUAAGCUGUAUUAAAGGAUCAAUAUUGAAAUGAGAACUAUUGGAGGGGGGUGGUUCACAAUUUGGGGGCGAUAAGAAAGUGUUGUCUCUUAUAAAUGCCAACAUAACUAAACGGAAAGAGAUUUUAGUAUAUAGGCAGGAUUAUAUAGGUAAAAGUACUUACGGUAGUAUAGCUCCAAGCCAUUGAAAGCGGUAUUUUGAAUUGAUCCAGAAAUUCAAAGAAAGGCAAGUGAGAAAUAAAUUUAUUAUUACAUUACCCUACCAAACCUAUCUUGAAAGCUAAGCAGGGUCACUUAUGAUUAAUAUUUGGAUGGGAGACCAUCCACAAAUACCAGGUGCUGUAUGCUGUAUUUCAGAAGAAAGAAACGGCAAAACCAGCUCUGCUUGCAUAAAAACACCAUAAAUUGACAGGCAGCUUGAAGGCAGAUGCAUAUCAACACACCUGAGAUUUUGAGCAUGAAUGUUUGCUUUGUUGUGUUAAAACUGGAGAUUACAGUAGAGUCUCAUUUAUCCAAGUUAAACGGGCCGGCAGAAGCUUGGAUAAGCAAAUAUCUUGGAUAAUAAGGAGGGAUUAAGGAAAAGCCUAUUAAACAUCAAAUUAGGUUAUGAUUUUACAAAUUAAGCACCAAAACAUCAUGUUAUACAACAAAUUUGACAGAAAAAGUAGUUCAAUACGCAGUAAUGUUAUGAUGUAAUUACUGUAUUUACGAAUUUAGCACCAAAAUAUCACGAUAUAUUGAAAACAUUGACUACAGAAAUGGCUUGGAUAAUCCAGAAGCUUGGAUAAGCGAUGCUUGGAUAAGUGAGACUCUACUGUACCAUUAAUAAGAAAAAGAAACUGGACCACACAGCUUUAAAUAAGCCCCCAGAGUAUCCAAAUUCUAGUUAGCUGGAAAUGGUAAAGCAGGAUUAUGGAAAAGCCAAAGAUCCUUCACUAUUACCAUGAUUUUAAUCAUGGAUGUUAUAGCAGGUUUGUUAUCUCUGUGGGAUGAAAAAGGGGAUUAUGUUCCUCAUCAUACCUUCCCAGUUAUAAAUGGUAUAACAGGAAGACCUAUGAUCUAAUCACUCAUUAAUCCCUGAUGAAAAUAGUAUGUUUGCACCAUUUGGGUCAAAACCCCAAUAUUAUACAUAAGGAAUUCCAUAUUCUGUACUUCAUAUAAAUUUGUAUUUGUUUGUUUUGUUUUGGCUUUUUGCAGAUAUUCACAUUGUAAAUAAUGUCAACAGCAUUCACAUUUCCAAUGUGUAUUCUGAAUAUUGGGGAUGCCAGUGUUCAAGAAGUAUGUGUGCCCUCAAUAAAACAAAGCAUUGGAAGAAUUGGAACAAAAACAUGAGGGAGAAAGCAUUCACAGUAUAUCGGGGGCAGAGAAAAGAAUCCUGACCACUGAUGGCUUCCAUGUCAUUGAAGCGGUGGAUCCAUUUCAGUUUAGUCCAAAUGUUUAAAAUGUCAUAACUCACCUCUGGGACAAAUCAGGCAAGAAGGAGGAAAAGGUGGUCUGCUAGGAAGCUCUCUCUGGGACCAAGAAGAUGGAGGUUGAGGCAAUGUGCAGCCCUGAUCUCCAGUAGGAGUCAAUAAUGACACACUCUCGUCCUUGGGAACGCGUUGACUCAUGUUCAGGACAAAGGAAGCUAUUAAGGGUGCUGAAACCUAUCCGCAAAAGAGGUUCAGCACCUUGGAUAGCUACUUUGACUAAACCUAGGGUAGGGUGCACUGGUCCACUAGGAUGAAGGAGCAAUCUUUCAGAGCUUAUUGAAUUUACUUGAAAACAGGUGAUGAUUCCUGGCCAUGAAUGGUCCUGUGGUAGAAAUGUUUGUUGACAGAUGUUGCACAAAAGUCUCUCUCUCUUCCACAGUUGUUAUUUUCAGGGUUGCACUGAACUUCACCAUGCCCUUGGAGAUAUGAAUCAAGGAGAACAGCAGCUUCCUGGUCUCUGUUCUAUAUUGCAUCCAUUCACUUGUCAUUUGAGCAUCUGCCAAAAAUAAGUCAGAAAGACUUUAAAUUUGCUAUGAUGGCACAAGGGCAAUGAUUAUACUCCCUGGCCCUCUGGUUCCCCUUGAGCACAGCGUCCAUCAUUGUCAGAGACGCUCGCCUUGGGGAGUGGAUUCAUGCCUUCUUACAUUCACCUCCCAGAACAAACACCAUGACAGCAUGCUUCCACUACCUGACUCACAACAGAUCCACAAACAUCUUUGAACAGAUUACUUAUAAACUCAAAACAACUAUUUACAGGAGAUAAAGCCAUUUCUGGAAAGAUAUGUGAUUGCUGUUUAACAGCUGCAUGGAAAUAUAAUGAAAGCAAUAAAAACUGUAUCUUUAGCUUUGUACUGCAGAAGAGGAACCAAGAUCACCUGAAGAAAUAACAACAACAACAACAACAACAACAACAACAACAACAACAACAACAACAACAACAAUGUAUUGUUGAAGGCUUUCAUAGCUGGAAUCACAGGGUUGUUGUGAGUUUUCCAGGCCGUUUGACCAUGUUCCAGAAGUAUUCUCUCCUGACGUUUUGCCCACAUCUUUGGCUGAAGCUGUCCGGGUUUAGGCAUAGCAGAACUAGUCUUUCAAAAUAGUGGUUCUCCAGUUUUGCUGGUCCAAAUGUUUGGAUCUCCACUUCCUGCCAUUGACCAUGCUGCCUUGGACUUCAGGUCUGAAACAUCUGGAGGACCUAUGUUUUGGAACCACUGUUUUAAAGCACAGGGGCCUUCAUCAGUAAAAAUGGUAAAAACUCCUAAUAUGCAUCCACAGAACCAGCCUUCUCCUUGUUCACAGGAGGGGGCUGUUCCUCUGUGAAUUAUCUCACCCAAACCUCUGAUAAAACAAGCCGUUCCAGGAGAGAGGCUAUGCAUUUAAAGAAGGCUGCAUAUAGGAUGAUUGAGUUAUUCUCUCCUCUGGCGUAUGAACCCUCUUGUUCUAAUGCACUAUUUUCUUUGGUCAAACAAGUUCCAUAGGUUUAUGUUUAAAAAAAAAAGCAAAGGAAACAAACUAAAACAAAACCUCUCAGCCUUGAAAGCUGAUAAAGGGACUGAUAUAAUUAAUAGGCCUAUCAUUGGCAACAAUAGGUCUGCCAUAUCCCCUCCAGCUGUCUGAAAAGGCUGUUAUCAACCUCUAGCCCCAGACGCAUUUGUAAGAUGAGGAAGUGGGUGAUGGGAGGUGAGGUAACCUCUUUCACGUUAACAAGCCCGGGAAGGUCAAGCACUUUGUAGCUUCACAACAUGUGAAGGAGUCUACAUUAUUCUGGGCUGACUAUGGGAUUAUGAUGAUUGUGUCUGACUAGAAUCCCAUUUCAUCUAAUGCACUCCUGCGGUGGUGGGGGUAGGAAUGGGAAAGACCUGUAGUUUGGUCAGAGGCACUAGAGUCUCACUGAAAACUGUAAAGGUCCCACAGUAAACUGCAUAUCCCAAGAUUGAAUGGGAUGUUUUCCAUAGCAGUUAAAGUAGAUUGUAGCACUAUAAUAGCUUCCAGUGGUCCAGUGGGUUAAACUGCUGAGCUGCUGAACUUGCCGACCGAAAGAUCAACGGUUCAAAUCCAGGGAGAGGGGUGAGCUCUCGCGAUUAGCCCCAGCUUCUGCCAACCUAGCAGUUUGGAAAAAUGCAAAUUUGAGUAGAUCACUAGGUAUCGCUCCAGCGGGAAGGUAACAACGCUCCAUGCAGUCAUGCUGGCCACAUGACCUUAAAGGCGUCUAUGGACAACGGCGGCUCUUCGGCUUAGAAAUUGAGAUGAGCACCACCCCGCAGAGUCGGACACGACUAGACUUAAUGAUAAGGGAAAAUCUUUACCUUUACUUUAGCACUAUAAUUUUAUAAUGUGUAUGUGCCCAGGCUAUGGUACUCUGCACCCUAAAUCAAAAUUCAUUGUGCCACAACUGGAUGCUUUUGAGUUUUUCCAAUUUUGUUCUGGAGCUGCUGGGACACAAACCUUCGCUAGCUUUUUCUGUUUCAAAGAAGUUCUUCUUGGGAGCUAAAAUGCAGCAAGACCACAUAUUCAUGGGAGACACAUUUCCGGCUGGACCGCAGUUGUAUGAUCCUGUGGAUAUGACCAUACACCAUUGAAUUAUUUCACUUCUGGUUCCAAGAUACCAUAAAACUGCACUAGAAGACCUAGAGAUUUCUAGAGAGGUAUUAUCUCUAGGAAUUGGCCAAGUCCCCUAGUGCAACUCUAUUAUAAAGUGGGAGUCCCAUGCGAUUUUAUCUGUUUAUGUUUUGCUUGCUUUUUAAUAAUGUUAUUCUCUGAAGCAGAGCUUUCCAAACUGUGUUUCACAACUUGUUAGUGUGUUAGCUGCAAUGUAUAGACGUGUCACGCAAAUAUAACGGGAAAUGACAAAAAACUUGAGAAUGUAUGUUAAUAUCUUGCAAAUCAUAUUUUUUAAAAUAUAGAAAUAAAAGGUUUUCAUAAGA